ACUCAUACUUUGCAGAUACCAUGUCAUAAGAGUGGUUUUCCCAGGGGGCAGCUCAUCCAUUGUACUUUGGGUAUGCUGCUGAUCCCUGUGAUUUCCCCAAAUGUGGGGAACUCAACUGCAUAAUUUGUGUUAAUGGGAGAUUGCACUUGUGAUUUCCCU
rnacentral:snRNA from 1 species